rnacentral:rRNA from 1 species
UUCCUACGGGAGGCAGCAGUGGGGAAUAUUGGACAAUGGGGGGAACCCUGAUCCAGCGACGCCGCGUGAGUGAAGAAGUAUUUCGGUAUGUAAAGCUCUAUCAGCAGGGAAGAAAAUGACGGUACCUGACUAAGAAGCCCCGGCUAACUACGUGCCAGCAGCCGCGGUAAUACGUAGGGGGCAAGCGUUAUCCGGAUUUACUGGGUGUAAAGGGAGCGUAGACGGCGAUGCAAGUCUGAAGUGAAAGGCGGGGGCCCAACCCCUGGACUGCUUUGGAAACUGUAUGGCUGGAGUGCAGGAGAGGG